AUUGAUAUGAACACAAAAGUGGUGCUAUCGUGUUUUCUUAACAUGUGUCUCUGUUAUUGAAGAUUGCAGUUGUUUACAUGAGUUGUGUAUGCAGGCAACCGAGAAAUGAAUCACCGAAGAAUUUUCUAUCAUUCUUGUUGUAAUGCUUGUAAGUUAAUUUUUCAAUUUUAUUUACCCCUUUAUCUAACUUGUAUUUUGCCAAUUUUAAGUUUCAUUUGAAAUGACAUUUACUUCAAGAAUAAUCUGUAUUCCUUGUACAUACAAUCUCAAUUUGUUGGGCCCG
rnacentral:lncRNA from 1 species